GACGAACGCUGGCGGCGUGCUUAACACAUGCAAGUCGAACGAAGUGGCGAACGGGUGAGUAACGCGUAAUCAACCUGCCCUUCAGAGGGGGACAACAGUUGGCAACGACUGCUAAUACCGCAUACUGAAGGAGGGGAUUGCGUCUGCUCAGCUAGUUGGAGGGGUAACGGCCCACCAAGGCGGAGAUCAGUAGCCGGGCUGAGAGGGGGAACGGCCACAAUGGGACUGGGGCACGGCCCAGGAUCCUAAGGGUGGGAGCAAGUGGGGAUCUUCCGCAAUUGACGGAAGUCUGACGGAGCAACGCCGCGGGAGUGAAUACGGCCUUCGGGUUGUAAAGCUCUGUUAAUCGGGACGCGGUACCGGAAUAGAAAGCCACGGCUAACUACGUGCCAGCAGCCGCGGUAAUUC
rnacentral:rRNA from 1 species